rnacentral:rRNA from 1 species
UACGUAGGGCGCAAGCGUUGUCCGGAUUUAUUGGGCGUAAAGAGCUCGUAGGCGGUUUGUCGCGUCUUCCGUGAAAACUGGGGGCUUAACUUCCAGCUUGCGGUGGAUACGGGCUGACUGGAGUGCGGCAGGGGAGACUGGAAUUCCUGGUGUAGCGGUGAAAUGCGCAGAUAUCAGGAGGAACACCGGUGGCGAAGGCGGGUCUCUGGGCCGUUACUGACGCUGAGGAGCAAAAGCGUGGGGAGCGAACAGG